rnacentral:rRNA from 1 species
UAGUGUGAAUUGCAGAAUUUCCGUGAAUCAUCGAGUUUUUUGAACGCAAGUUGCGCCCCGAGGCUCGUCUGAGGGCAUGCCUGCCUGAGCGUCCGC